rnacentral:rRNA from 1 species
GAUGAACGCUGGCGGCGUGCCUAAUACAUGCAAGUCGAACGAAGCGGGGACGGGUGAGUAAGACGUGGAUAAACUCGGUUACGAAUGGGAUAAAUUCGGGAAACCGGUGCUAAACCGGCUACUUAGAGAUGGAUCCGCGAUGCAUUAGCUAGGUGGUAAGGUAACGGCUUAGCAAGGCAACGAUGCAUAGACGACCUGAGAGGGUGAUCGGCCACACUGGAACUGAGAAACGGUCCAGACUCCUACGGGAGGCAGCAGUAGGGAAUCUUCCGCAAUGGGCGAAAGCCUGACGGAGCAACGCCGCGUGAGUGAUGAAGGUUUUCGGAUCGUAAAACUCUGUUAUUAGGGAAGCGGUACCUAAUCAGAAAGCCACGGCUAACUACGUGCCAGCAGCCGCGGUAAUUC